GUGCCCCUAGCGGCUCUCCCUAGCUUUUCUGGAAAGAAAAUAACACUAGAUGCUCCAAUGGCCACAGUACACUCUUUUGCCUUCUCCUCCUCUUCUUCUCCUACAUAUCUUGCAAUCCACACUCUCUUCUAACAAUUUUGUUCAAACCCUACAUAUUAAACUAUCCAUUUAAUGGAAUCCCUUCACAUCAGUAUCUUUGCUGUUCUUUCUUGGAUCCCUUUAGCGUUCUUACCGUAAACAGAGCCACCUCUCAGCUCCCAAAUUGAUGCAGAAAAUCGUUCUAUUCUGAUAUUGAAGAAGAAGAAGAAGAAGGAGAAAAGUAUUUGUUUUUAGCCAUGGAAGAGAGGCAUGUGCUGUUUGAAAAGUAUGAGAUGGGGCGGCUUUUGGGGAAGGGGACUUUUGCGAAGGUCUACUAUGGCAAAAACAUGGCAACUGGAGAAAGCGUAGCCAUCAAAGUAAUGAAUAAGGAUCAAGUGAAAAAGGAAGGGACGAUGGAGCAGAUCAAGAGGGAAAUCUCUGUUAUGCGAUUAGUUCGACACCCAAAUAUAGUGGAGCUCAAAGAAGUGUUGGCUACAAAAACCAAGAUAUUCUUCGUUAUGGAGUACGUCCGUGGUGGCGAGCUCUUCGCUAAGGUCGCUAAAGGAAAGCUCAAAGAAGAUGUUGCUCGCAAGUACUUUCAACAGCUAAUCAGCGCAAUCGAUUUCUGCCAUAGCAGAGGCGUUUCUCAUCGAGACUUGAAGCCGGAGAAUCUGUUAUUAGAUGAAAAUGGAGACCUCAAAAUCUCUGAUUUUGGGCUAUCAACCUUGCCGGAACACUUGCGCAACGACGGUCUCCUUCAUACCCAGUGUGGGACUCCAGCUUAUGUGGCGCCUGAGGUUCUGAGAAAGAAGGGAUACGAAGGAUCAAAAGCAGAUAUAUGGUCUUGUGGGGUAAUCCUUUACGUUCUUCUUGCUGGGUUCUUGCCAUUUCAAGAUGAGAAUGUCAUGAAAAUGUACAGAAAAGUUUUCAAAGCAGAAUUUGAGUGUCCACCGUGGUUUUCCAUAGAAGCUAAGCGCUUGAUUUCCAGACUUCUAGUUGCUGACCCAGAAAGAAGAAUCACAAUACCAGCAAUAAUGCGAGUUCCCUGGUUCCGAAAGGAAUUUACAAGACCUCUAGCCUUUUCAGUACAAGAAAUAUCGAACCCAGAAAAAACAGAGGAGGAAGAAGACGAAUCUUUAUCUGCAGUGAUGACUAAAGUUUCCUCCCCAAAAUUCUU
rnacentral:misc_RNA from 1 species